rnacentral:rRNA from 1 species
AACCAAUUCCAACAUUAUUAAAGAACCCUUAAGUAAUACUGAGUAAUUCUAUAUAGAUAUAGAAGAUUUUAUGUUAAAACUAGUAACAAGAAGAAGAACUUCUCCUACAAUGCACAUGUAAAUCAGAUAGGACACCCCGCUGAUAAUUAACACCAAUGAACAUAAAAUAGCAACCGCACAAGAAAACCCUACUAUAUUAUGUGUUAAUCUAACACCAGAGCAUUUCAAGAAAGAUUAAAAGAAAAAGAAGGAACUCGGCAAAUAUUAACCUCGCCUGUUUACCAAAAACAUCGCCUCUUGAAUAAAUAUAAGAGGUCCAGCCUGCCCAGUGACCAUGUUCAACGGCCGCGGUAUCCUAACCGUGCGAAGGUAGCGUAAUCACUUGUUCUUUAAAUAAGGACUAGUAUGAACGGCACCACGAAGGUUAUACUGUCUCCUCUUUCUAAUCAGUGAAACUAAUCUCCCCGUGAAGAAGCGGGAAUAAGAAUAUAAGACGAGAAGACCCUAUGGAGCUUUAAACUAUAAAGCAAUUGCCCCAAUAUGAUUAAAUUUCAGAAAACCACUACUACCAAGGCAAUGUGACUCUUAGUUUUAGGUUGGGGUGACCGCGGAGCAAAAAAUAACCUCCACAUUGAAAGGAGUCAACUCCUUAGCCAAGAGCUACACCUCUACGCACCAACAAAAAGACAUUAAUUGACCCAAUAUUUUGAUCAACGAACCAAGUUACCCUAGGGAUAACAGCGCAAUCCACUUCAAGAGCUCCUAUCGACAAGUGGGUUUACGACCUCGAUGUUGGAUCAGGGUAUCCCGGUGGUGCAGCCGCUACCAAAGGUUCGUUUGUU